rnacentral:ribozyme from 1 species
GACAAAAAAUACUGAAAGAAGAAGAAAGAAUACAAAAAUACUUUAUGCUUUCGUUGUUUGUGUGCAUAAUUUUUUGUUUUGUAUAU